rnacentral:lncRNA from 1 species
GCGGGUUACAGUCAGAGGACAUCAGGCUGGAUGAGUAUCCCGCGUCCGGACACUGUGCCAGAGGAGGCAGCCCAUCGCCCUCCAAACACCCACCUGCCCCUUCCAGACUUAGCCCUCUGCUGCCUCCACACUGGGGCCAUCGACAGCCAGCGGGGAGCUCCAACAGCAACAGCUAGAUGAAAGCUUUUGUGCUUUUUCUCUAAUCACACCUCCCCCUUCAUCUCAACUACACAGAGGCUAGAAGGAAAAGGUGAAAGAAAUGAAAAAGCCAACCGCUCCGCCCUCCUCUCCCUAGACACUCAGUGCCCGGAUGCUGUUGGGGAAGGGGAGGGACUGGCAGGAGCCCUAAGUCUGAGAAUGUACUGUACCACAUUUUAAUCUGGACCGGACUGCAUUUGUGGAUACCUGACCAUGACUGAGAAGCUAAGGGAUCCAUUAUGAAGAAAAGGAAACAAAGAUUCAACAAAGCAGAUUAGAAGGUCAUAUUUGGAGAAAAAGUAAACCACUUCAUGUGUGUUCCUCACCAAAGUCAUGCCACUUAAUCAGCCAGCUACACUUACAAACACUGUGAACUCGCUGCUUUCGGGAGUGGACAUACUCAGUUCCACUUACCUCAAAAAGUGGGAAGAAAUUCAGAGAAUCGCCUUCUCACCAGAGCCCAGACAUGCACAGUCGAUUUUGUGUGGAGGUGGGAUCAGCAGCCAGUAAUGAAGUGUGAGGAGAGCGGGAAGUGCAUUGUGCUGAAACGACCUGCCCCACCGACGCUGGCUUCUGUGCCUGUGAUUCCCACAGUGCCUGGCACAUGGGGAACAGACAUUUGCAUUAAAAUUCAAGAGAGAUGAAGUCUAUCAUCGAUCUUGACUCCCUCGUGGACCUCUUGUACUCAGCGAAAGAUGAUUUAGAGAAUGUCAAGAGUCUUGGAACACCCAUAAUGAGAGAAGGAAAAAAAUCACUUCAGACUUACAAACCAGUGAGGGCUUAUUUGACAGAAAGGGCAAUUGCGUUUGGUGGCUGUGUUUUAGAGAAAUCAAAUUCUGGAAGUUUAAUUUUGUUCCUAGGCCAAGUCAUUAAGAGAUCUGUGAGACGAACGGCCAUUCAUAAAGUCCUCGCUGGUUAAACAAAACAUUUCAAAACAUCCACAGAGGUUAAACAAAGCACUCACAUUGUUACUGGCCACAAAGGAAAGCUAAAAGUAAAUUCUAAUAUUUCUGUAUAAACGUGUCCCUGAUAAGACACUAACCCCAAGACAAGUUUGUGAUUCAAUCCUCCAUUGCUGUCUCUGAGAACUGUGAGGGUGAAACCCCUGGAAGCCCAAGUCUUCCGCUAGAGUACCCCAGGAUUACCCUCUUUUAUAACAAGACUCAAAGCUGUUUGCAAAUUCUUACAGUUGCCUGGCGUCUGGAUCCUUUUCCUAGACAAGAGCCAAUCUAUUUUGUGGCCUGAAUAACUUCCAUCCACUGCUCAUUCCUGUAAUCACACCCAGAGGUUUUUAUUUGGCUCUUUUCUGGAAGUGGAGGCUCUUUCCAUUUUCUGAGGUGUUCUGCUGGACUUAACUGGUUUUUUUUGUUUUUUUUUUUUGAGGAAGAUUAGCCCUGAGCUAACAUCUGCCACCAAUCCUCUUCUUUUUUGCUGAGGAAGACUGGCCCUAAGCUAACAUCCAUGCCCAUCUUCCUCUACUUUAUAUGUGGGAUGCCUGCCACAGCAGGGCUUGCCAAGUGGUGUGUAGGUCCACACCAG